rnacentral:rRNA from 1 species
GGGGGACAUUCCACGUUUUCCGCGCCGUAGCUAACGCAUUAAGUGCCCCGCCUGGGGAGUACGGCCGCAAGGCUAAAACUCAAAGGAAUUGACGGGGGCCCGCACAAGCGGCGGAGCAUGCUGAUUAAUUCGAUGCAACGCGAAGAACCUUACCAAGGCUUGACAUGCACUGGACGGCUGCAGAGAUGUGGCUUUCUUUGGACUGGUGCACAGGUGGUGCAUGGUUGUCGUCAGCUCGUGUCGUGAGAUGUUGGGUUAAGUCCCGCAACGAGCGCAACCCUUGUUCUAUGUUGCCAGCACGUGAUGGUGGGGACUCAUAGGAGACUGCCGGGGUCAACUCGGAGGAAGGUGGGGACGACGUCAAAUCAUCAUGCCCCUUAUGUCUUGGGCUUCAAGCAUGCUACAAUGGUCGGUACAAUGGGUUGCGAAACUGUGAGGUGGAGCGAAUCCCAAAAAGCCGGCCUCAGUUCGGAUUGGGGUCUGCAACUCGACCCCAUGAAGUCGGAGUCGCUAGUAAUCGCAGAUCAGCAACGCUGCGGUGAAUACGUUCCCGGGCCUUGUACACACCGCCCGUCAAGUCACGAAAGUCGGUAACACCCGAAGCCAGUGGCCCAUCCUCGUGAGGGAGCUGUCGAAGGUGGGAUCGGUGAUUGGGACUAAGUCGUACCAAGG